AUAGUUACUUGUCAGGGGAGACACCAUGAUUAUGAAGGUGGUUUUCUCGGGGUGAGGCUCAUCCAUNGUACUCCGGGUAUGCUGAUCCCUGCGAUUCCCCCAAAUGCAUAAUUUGUGGUAGUGGGGAACUGCAUUUGUGCUUUCUAUG
rnacentral:snRNA from 1 species